GCGGCUGUGGCGGAACUGGUAGACGCGCGUGGUUUAGGUCCACGUUCCUUUGGAGUGGGGGUUCGAGUCCCUCCAGCCGCACCA
rnacentral:tRNA from 1 species